rnacentral:rRNA from 1 species
UACAGAGGGUGCAAGCGUUGUUCGGAAUUACUGGGCGUAAAGCGUGCGCAGGCGGUUUUGUAAGUCUGUCGUGAAAUCCCCCGGGCUCAACCUGGGAAUUGCGAUGGAGACUGCAAGGCUAGAAUCUGGCAGAGGGGGGUAGAAUUCCACGUGUAGCAGUGAAAUGCGUAGAGAUGUGGAGGAACACCGAUGGCGAAGGCAGCCCCCUGGGUCAAGAUUGACGCUCAUGCACGAAAGGCGUGGGGAGCAAACAGG